AGAAAUGGAAUGUCGUGCUUCGUGUAUGGUGAAUAUUUAUCUUACAAAUUCUGUACCAAAGUUGUAGUUAUCUUCUAGACGAGAGUGUGCAACUAAAUGUGUAGUACCGAACAAAAGAAAAGUGCAAACAUAUCAAAACGUAUUCAACUAGGUUUGUUUUGAAUUUUGUUGAAGAACCGAGUGCGUCCAGUACUCCAUAUUGAAUAACAUCCCAAUGCAACCUCAAGCUUUUGGAAACACGAAAGGAAACAGUAGCCAAAAGGGAAAAGAAGUUCACCAUCAACUCUUUCAUAAAAUAUCGUCGUUCUGCUGAAUAGCAACAUCCACAACAGUACCCCAGCAUGGACAUAAAUUUUUUUUUCCGAGUAUGUUUUUCUACAAUUAAGCAUGGGCAGACAAAAAGCCUCAAAAAACGACAAGAGUAAUCUUCAGGUUUAUUGCAGCUACUUAGAAGAAGUCAUGUGAAAAGAUGCAUUGCAGGGCACUUACUCAACAUAUGUUCAAAACUGCUGCUGCUGCCUACAGCCAGGGGCAGGAAAAUUGCUCUCUUUCUUCAAAUAAUUGAAAGGGUGCUGCAGUCAUCUAGUCUUCAUCCUCCCUCGACUCAUUUCGUCUUCUGGAUCGCUUAGUAAAGCUGACUGGUGUUAUCAAUCCAUUUAGAUAACGACCUAGAGGAGACCGCCUACAGACUGUGAACAUCACAUGGGAUCAGACGUCAGCAUCUCUACGAAUUAAUGGCGGUGACGUGACUCCACGGGUGACAUCAAACAUGUUCUACGUGGAUCAUCAUUUAUUGUUGGUAAUAUGUUUUGUGUUAGUUAACCCGUUGGCUGCCACGCCUUUGUUCCCCCAUGUUAGCUCUGUAGCACGGGCCCGCGCUGUUCGGUCUCGUGGUUUACAUGCCGCGGGGUCGGACAGUUGCACCAGCCCCAGAUUUGGCCGAAAGGCCCUGUUAGGCAAUGCACCAU
rnacentral:lncRNA from 1 species